UUUGUGAUGGCAUGUAUCGGUAAUCAAGUUCGGCCUUGUGACUUGAGAUUGCAUUUAAUGAAGGUGAUCUGGGUUUCUUGUUUAGGUUUCCAUCAGCAAUAAUAACAACGUUAGUUCAUUUAGCUAUGUAUGUUAAGUAAUUUGAUAUAGAGACUGCAUGAGUUUUCCAUUACCCACAUAUAGAAAUAACACAACAACAAUAACUAAACUUUAAUCUCAAACUAGUUGAGAUCA
rnacentral:misc_RNA from 1 species